rnacentral:rRNA from 1 species
UACGAAGGGGGCUAGCGUUGCUCGGAAUCACUGGGCGUAAAGCGCACGUAGGCGGAUUGCUAAGUCAGGGGUGAAAUCCUGGAGCUCAACUCCAGAACUGCCUUUGAUACUGGCGAUCUCGAGUCCGGGAGAGGUGAGUGGAACUGCGAGUGUAGAGGUGAAAUUCGUAGAUAUUCGCAAGAACACCAGUGGCGAAGGCGGCUCACUGGCCCGGUACUGACGCUGAGGUGCGAAAGCGUGGGGGAGCAAACAGG